CGCAGCCGCGGUAAUUCCAGCUCCAAUAGCGUAUAUUAAAGUUGUUGCAGUUAAAAAGCUCGUAGUUGAAUUUCGGGAUCAGUACGCUGGUCGUGCCUCCGGUAUGAACUGGUGUCACUGGUUCCUCCCUUCUGAAGAACCAUUAUGCCAUUAAUUUGGUGUGGUGGGAAAUCAGGACUGUUACUUUGAAAAAAUUAGAGUGUUUAAAGCAGGCUCACGCUUGAAUACAUUAGCAUGGAAUAAUGAAAUAGGACGUUGAUCCUAUUUUGUUGGUUUCUAGGAUUGACGUAAUGAUUAAUAGGGAUAGUUGGGGGCAUUAGUAUUCAAUUGUCAGAGGUGAAAUUCUUGGAUUUAUUGAAGACUAACUACUGCGAAAGCAUUUGCCAAGGAUGUUUUCAUUAAUCAAGAACGAAAGUUAGGGGAUCGAAGACGAUCAGAUACCGUCGUAGUCUUAACCAUAAACUAUGCCGACUAGGAUCGGAUGAUGUUAAUUUUUUAAUGACUCAUUCGGCGCCUUAAC
rnacentral:rRNA from 1 species